AGCUUUGCACAGUGGCAAUGUCAUAGCCAAUGAGGUUUAUCUGAGUCAGGCACAGUUACUGCUAAUUAAAAACUCCCAAUACCCUGCUGUGAUGACUUGCAAUAUAGCUGUCACUGGCAAUUUUUGAGGGUCUCUAUGGAGA